CAGAAGACAUGAGACUCUCCCUCAUUCCUACAAUGAGAAUCAAGCUCUUCCUCUGUGUGGCCUGCUGUCUCCUGUGGGCAGGACACAUGGAGGCUGGAAUCACCCAGAGCCCAAGACAUGUCAUCACAGAGACAGGAGAAAAGGUGACUUUGAGAUGCCACCAGACCUACAACUAUGACUAUAUGUAUUGGUAUCGACAAGACCCAGGGCAAGGGCUGCAGCUGAUCCAUUACUCAUAUACUGUGGACAACACUGAAAAAGGAGACGUGUCUGACGGGUACAGUGUCUCCAGAUCAAACACAGAGGACUUCCCCCUCACUCUGGAGUCGGCCACCAGCUCCCAGACAUCUGUGUACUUCUGUGCCACCAGUGAAUACACAGUGCUCCAGGGCCACCUCCUGGCUGCACAUAAAUAGGAAGACUGUGGCUGCCUGUGCUCAGGAGCCCUGGCCACCCCAGGGAGCAGAGCCCUUGCCAGCCUGGGGCCCUCAGAGCCUGGACAACAGGCCCUCAGUGCUGAGGUCCUCCCCUGACAGUCUCAGCCUGACCUCAGACCUCCCUGCCCCUUAGCUUGCUGCUGCUCCCUUCAGCAGCCCUCUCCUUCUACCUGCCCAAGGAAAGUGCAUCUCAGUGGAGGUUCCUGUGGAAGGCCUUGCCAGUCUCAGGGCCACCACCUUCUCCCCCCAGGGCUCCAGUGUCUUCCUCAUCCUCCUAGAGGCUCUUCAACUUCAGCCCUGAGUCUCCUCCCCCAUGACCUCUGCUCCUGGCUGCCUC